rnacentral:rRNA from 1 species
UCGGACGGGUGAGUAACGCGUGAGGAUCUGCCUUCAGGAGGGGGACAACAGUUGGAAACGACUGCUAAUACCCCAUAUGUCUAUGGAUGAAACGGUGAAUUCCGCCUGAAGAUGAACUCGCGUCGGAUUAGCUAGUUGGUGAGGUAAGGGCUCACCAAGGCGACGAUCCGUAGCUGGUCUGAGAGGAUGAUCAGCCACACUGGGACUGAGACACGGCCCAGACUCCUACGGGAGGCAGCAGUGGGGAAUUUUCCGCAAUGGGCGAAAGCCUGACGGAGCAACGCCGCGUGCGGGAUGACGGCCUGUGGGUUGUAAACCGCUUUUCUCAGGGAAGAAGAUCUGACGGUACCUGAGGAAUCAGCAUCGGCUAACUCCGUGCCAGCAGCCGCGGUAAUACGGAGGAUGCAAGCGUUAUCCGGAAUUAUUGGGCGUAAAGCGUCCGCAGGCGGCUUAUCAAGUCUGCUGUUAAAGGUCGGGGCUUAACUCCGGAUAGGCAGUGGAAACUGAUAGGCUAGAGUACGGUAGGGGUAGAGGGAAUUCCCAGUGUAGCGGUGAAAUGCGUAGAUAUUGGGAAGAACACCAGUGGCGAAGGCGCUCUACUGGCCGUAACCGACGC